ACUCGAGUGGCGAACGGGUGAGUAACACGUGGGUGAUCUGCCCUGCACUUCGGGAUAAGCCUGGGAAACUGGGUCUAAUACUGGAUAGGACCAUCGUUUAGUGUCGGUGGUGGAAAGUUUUUCGGUGGAGGAUGAGCUCGCGGCCUAUCAGCUUGUUGGUGGGGUAAUGGCCUACCAAGGCGACGACGGGUAGCCGGCCUGAGAGGGUGGACGGCCACAUUGGGACUGAGACACGGCCCAG
rnacentral:rRNA from 1 species